GACGGAGGGUGCAAGCGUUGUUCGGAAUUACUGGGCGUAAAGCGCACGUAGGCGGACUCUUAAGUCGGUGGUGAAAUCCUGGAGCUCAACUCCAGAACUGCCUUCGAUACUGAGAGUCUUGAGUCCGGGAGAGGUGAGUGGAACUGCGAGUGUAGAGGUGAAAUUCGUAGAUAUUCGCAAGAACACCAGUGGCGAAGGCGGCUCACUGGCCCGGUACUGACGCUGAGGUGCGAAAGCGUGGGGAGCAAACAGG
rnacentral:rRNA from 1 species